rnacentral:lncRNA from 1 species
AUGAUACAUAUAGAUGGCAUGGCAGUGGGUUCAGACCUAGGUCAGCAUACUCCAAGCCAAUAUGAAAAAAGUAUAGGCCUACAUUAUCAGCUAUAUCGAUUUAGAGAGUGGGUUUUUCAUUGCUGUUUCUUUUUCAAAUUUACUUCCAGCUGUGACCACCCUUGUUAUUCUGAUUUGGUCUUGGCAUUCACCACAGAAUUUCUCACCAUGACAAGCACUGAUUUUGAGCAAGCAACUGAAAUGUAUCAAAAUUGUCUCCAAAAUGUCCUUUCUGAGAUAUCUCCAGCUUAGUUUCUUCCCAUCCUUAGUCUCACAUCAUGGACAUUACUCAACUUAAUUGAAGAACAUCAAAGCUA